AUUGAACGCUGGCGGCAGGCUUAACACAUGCAAGUCGAGCGGGGUGAUGGUGCUUGCACUAUCACUUAGCGGCGGACGGGUGAGUAAUGCUUAGGAAUCUGCCCAUUAGUGGGGGACAACAUCUCGAAAGGGAUGCUAAUACCGCAUACGUCCUACGGGAGAAAGCAGGGGAUCACUUGUGACCUUGCGCUAAUAGAUGAGCCUAAGUCGGAUUAGCGAGUUGGUGGGGUAAAGGCCUACCAAGGCGACGAUCUGUAGCGGGUUUGAGAGGAUGAUCCGCCACACUGGGACUGGGACACGGCCCAGACUCCUACGGGAGGCAGCAGUGGGGAAUAUUGGACAAUGGGGGGAACCCUGAUCCAGCCAUGCCGCGUGUGUGAAGAAGGCCUUAUGGUUGUAAAGCACUUUAAGCGAGGAGGAGGCUCUUUUGGUUAAUACCCAAGAUGAGUGGACGUUACUCGCAGAAUAAGCACCGGCUAACUCUGUGCCAGCAGCCGCCGUAA
rnacentral:rRNA from 1 species